rnacentral:tRNA from 1 species
UGGCAUAGUGGUUAAGUGCUAUGGCUGCUGACCAAAAGGUCGGCAGUUCGAAUCUGCC